rnacentral:rRNA from 1 species
CCAAUAGCGUAUAUUAAAGUUGUUGCAGUUAAAAAGCUCGUAGUUGAAUUUCGGGGUUAGUAGGUUGGUCAUGCCUCUGGUAUGUACUGGUCUCACUGAUUCCUCCUUCCUGAUGAACCUUAAUGCCAUUAAUUUGGUGUUUUGGGGAAUUUGGACUGUUACUUUGAAAAAAUUAGAGUGUUUAAAGCAAGCUAACGCUUGAAUACAUUAGCAUGGAAUAAUGAAAUAGGACGUUCGAUCCUAUUUUGUUGGUUUCUAGGAUUGACGUAAUGAUUAAUAGGGAUAGUUGGGGGCAUUAGUAUUCAAUUGUCAGAGGUGAAAUUCUUGGAUUUAUUGAAGACUAACUACUGCGAAAGCAUUUGCCAAGGAUGUUUUCAUUAAUCAAGAACGAAAGUUAGGGGAUCGAAGACGAUCAGAUACCGUCGUAGUCUUAACCAUAAACUAUGCCGACUAGGGAUCGGAUGAUGUUAAUUUUUUAAUGACUCA